rnacentral:rRNA from 1 species
CCUACGGGAGGCUGCAGUGAGGAAUAUUGGUCAAUGGACGAGAGUCUGAACCAGCCAAGUAGCGUGAAGGAUGACUGCCCUAUGGGUUGUAAACUUCUUUUAUAUGGGAAUAAAAUGUUCCACGUGUGGGAUUUUGUAUGUACCAUAUGAAUAAGGAUCGGCUAACUCCGUGCCAGCAGCCGCGGUAAUACGGAGGAUCCGAGCGUUAUACGGAUUUAUUGGGUUUAAAGGGAGCGUAGGUGGAUUGUUAAGUCAGUUGUGAAAGUUUGCGGCUCAACCGUAAAAUUGCAGUUGAAACUGGCAGUCUUGAGUACAGUAGAGGUGGGCGGAAUUCGUGGUGUAGCGGUGAAAUGCUUAGAUAUCACGAAGAACUCCGAUUGCGAAGGCAGUUCACUGGACUGCAACUGACACUGAGGCUCGAAAGUGUGGGUAUCAAACAGGAUUAGAUACCCUUGUAGUC